UACAGAGGUGGCAAGCGUUGUUCGGAAUUACUGGGCGUAAAGCGUGCGUAGGUGGUCUGUUAAGUCUGAUGUGAAAGCCCUGGGCUCAACCUGGGAAUUGCAUUGGAUACUGGCGAGCUAGAGUGUGUCAGAGGAUGGUGGAAUUCCCGGUGUAGCGGUGAAAUGCGUAGAGAUCGGGAGGAACAUCAGUGGCGAAGGCGGCCAUCUGGGACAACACUGACGCUGAGGCACGAAAGCGUGGGGAGCAAACAGG
rnacentral:rRNA from 1 species